CAUGGUGCCAAGACUGUCAUAAACGGCUCCUGAGGUCUGAAAAAACGACAGCAGGAUUCAGCGUUCCUCUGACAACCACUCAGAAAAUAGAAUGUGAAGAAGAAGGAGGAAGGGAAGAUGCGGGGCCAGCCAUCAGAAUGCUCCCUGUGGCUCCAUGGAUGCCUAGAAAUGCUGGUCACUUAAAGGGCACAGGUUACAGAAUGUCAGAUGACUGAAGUAAAAGAGGAAGUAACAUUGCUCAGAGAUGGAGAUUUGUGGCUUCUCUCUUUGGAAAGAUGAGAAAGGGACUAGAAAAUCCUCCGGAUGGGCCUUCAAAGGUCACUGAGCAGGACUCCCAAAGGCCACCACUGCUGUCCAGCACCCCUCUCAAUGCAGCUACUCCCAGUGGGUUGUGGAACCACUCUCUCCUGUGUCUUCAAGUAUAGAGGUGGAAACAGCUGUCUGCUGUUGCUUGCACCAAGAUGUAGGCUCCAUUUCCACAGAUGCCUCAUGAUCAGGGAUAGCUGCUCAAGUUCUCCCUAUUACAUCACAUGUCCUCCAUCAGUUUUCAACUGCAGAGAACUGAAUCUGCUCCAGCUACUUGACACACAAAUGGCUCUAUUCCUGUACUAAAGAGCUUCUGGAAUCCUAGACAAGGCAGAAACACAAACUCUGUGUUAAUAUUUUGGGACUAACACCCAAAGUCACCUGAAAGAGUUGGGCCACCAAGGUAGCUACUGUCCCUUCUUGUCCCUUCUAUGACCAAGAAGCUCCUUUUCUGAUUGGAAUGCUGUCACUCCACUUGCUGGGUCCAGAACCUCAGAGCUCCUGCACAAUGAGGGAGCUGCAGUCCCAGGAAGCCACACAAUCCCAAAGCUGUAAUGAUUGGGAAUCUCAUACCACAGAUGCUGUCUUCAGAACCAAGCUGUUUCUGCUUCGGUCUGCACCCAUGACUUCAGUGACCAGAAACGAAGACCUCAGCAAAUGCUUCUUCCCAGCAUAACUGAAUGCUUGCCCAGUGGGGCUUGCCAGAAGGAACAACAGAAGCAACACCUCUCCAUUUUGCUUUACAUCUACCUUCCAAAUCAUCACUUGUGUACCUGAGGGGUCGAGCAUUCACCGCAUACAAAAGCAUAGCUGCAAGAAAUUGGGGGAAAGUCAUUUUUAGCUUUUCAGUCUUUGAAACAUAAGAAGACACUCUAGAAGGGAGUUGCAAUAGACAGUAAGUGUUAAUUCACAAUUCCGCCAAAAUAUUCCAGGAAGAGGGAAGGAGAAAGAAAGGGGAAGGAUAAAAGGACAUCCUCCUUCACUAGCUCAGUGAUCUUUAAGAAACUUUUCAUGAAGCCCCACUAGAUGAUUUUCAUUUGCCCUUCAUUACCUACUCUUAACUGCAGGGGAGACUGGGAAAUGCAGAACUUUAGCUAUAUGUGUUGCCUCCCAGAAUAAAAUGGGGUUUUGUUAGAAAGAAGUAAAUAAACAAGAUAAUGAAUAUUUGGUGGGUAAUUAAUACAGCUGACCCUGGAACAGCACAGGUUUGAACUGCUUGGUCCACUUAUAAGUGGAUUUUCUUUCACCUCUGCCACUCUGAGAUAGCAAGACCAAUCCCUCCUCUUCCUUCUCCUCCUCAGCGUGAAGCUGGUGAGUAUGAAGACCUUUAAGAUGAUUCAUUUCCACUUAUGAAUGGUAAAUGUAUUUUCUUUUCCUUAUUAUUUUCACAAUAAUGUUUUCUUUUCUCAAGUUUCUCAAGUUUGUUCUAUUGUAGAAAUAUAGCAGACAAGAUAAUACAUAUAACACAAAAAUCUGUGCUAAUCAACUAUUUAUAUUAUCAGUAAGGCUUUUGGUCAACAUUAGGCUAUUAGUAGUUAAGUUUUUGGGGAAUCAAAAGUUUUAUAUGCAUUUCUGAAUGCAUGGAGAGAACAACAUGGGAAUUAGGUUGGUGCCUUAAUUCCUAUGUUGCUCAAGAGUCAACUAUAGUUUCAGCUGAAGCCUGCUCUUUUUUUCUCAAUGUCUAUACUCAUCCUUCUUUUCUUACAUAGAACACUUCACCCCUUUCCUAUGAACAUACCCCAAAGUCUCAUCCAAGCAAUGCACCUAACUCAAUAUCCAGGAUUACUGGGUAAAAUGUACCCCUCUCUAUUCCAUCUAGAUGUGGUUUCUUGUGAUCCAGUAAUGUAUAAAAAUAGAAAAAAAUAUUUGCUGCCGGAACAUCAUAAUGGAGAAACAGUAGGAUAGGAAUGAUUGAGCUCUUCUUUUCAGAAAGUGGUAAUGGGAGCAUUCUUCAGUCACUGUUCCAUAGCAAUUAUGAAAUCCUGCUGGGAAGGAUUAUCAAGACCCCCUGGCCUGGCAGAGCAGUUAGCUCAUCUGGAAGCUCUAUGCUCCAGGAGGUUUCUGUCUUACUAGCUUUAUACUGAGUUCUGUCUUUUAUAGGAUGCAAUUAAAAGUCAGUAGCCAACAUAGCCCAGCAGCUACAAUUUUUCUACAUUUUCCAUUGUACAACAGCUUUAUACAGUCUGCCUUCCAAAGUACAAGUUUGGAAGUACAAGGUGAAAGUUUGAUCAUAAGUUUGCCACUGCAUUACAAGGGACAAUGUUCCAAAUGUUAACAGGUGGAUUCUUACUGCUCACAGCACGGCUGCCUUCACCAUACAAAUACAACUACAAAUGUUUACAAUGCAUCUAAGUGAAAACUAUCUACUGAGCUUUAUCAUGAAAUAUAAAAGAUUUAAGUAAAUAGACUAAAAGAAGUCCCUGAAAGGGAAAACUGAAAUUUAUAAAUGCCAAUUUCUCCCAAGUAUAGGUUUAAUACAAUUCAAAUUCCAGCCCUCACAUUCUAGCAUGAUUCUUUGAAACUCAACAAAGUGAUUUAAAGCCUACCUGUUAGAAAUAAAGCAUAAGAAUGAACAAGAAAAUGCAUGAAAAAAGAAAAGAGGAUACUUGCUACACAGGAACUUGUCCCUGAAUGUUGAUAGCAUUAUUCAUAAUAGCCAAAAGCUGAAAACAACUCAAUUGUCCAUCAACAGGUGAAAAGAUGAACCAAAUGUUUCAUAUCCAUACAACAGAAUAUUAUUCAGCCAUGGAAAAAAAGAGUGAAAUAUUAAUACAUGCUACAAUUUCAAUGAACCUCAAAAACAUUACGCUAAGUGAGAAAAGUCAGACACAAAAAGUCACAUUUUAUAUGACUCCUUCAGUAUGAUAUAUCCAGGAUAAGCAAAUCCAUCGAGACAGAAAGCAGAUUAGAGAUUACCAGGGAGUGGGAGAAAGGAGAAAUGGAGUGUGAUUAAUGGGUAUAGGGCAUUUUAAGGGAUGGUAAAUAUUUUGAAACUAGAAAGAUCUGGUAGUUGCAUAAUAUUAUGAAUACACUAUAUACCACUGAAUUGUAUACAUUAAGAUGGCUAAUUACAGGUUAUGUAAAUUUCACCUCAAUAAA
rnacentral:lncRNA from 1 species